AUAUCAAUAAGCGGAGGAAAAGAAACUAACAAGGAUUCCCUCAGUAACGGCGAGUGAAGCGGGAAGAGCUCAAAUUUGUAAUCUGGUGGCCUCAGGUCAUCCGAGUUGUAAUCUAUAGAGGUGUUUUCCGUGCUGGCUCAUGUACAAGUCCCUUGGAACAGGGCGUCAUAGAGGGUGAGAAUCCCGUCCUUGACAUGAACUACCAGUGCUCUGUGAUACACUUUCAACGAGUCGAGUUGUUUGGGAAUGCAGCUCAAAAUGGGUGGUAAAUUCCAUCUAAAGCUAAAUAUUGGCGAGAGACCGAUAGCGCACAAGUA
rnacentral:rRNA from 1 species